rnacentral:rRNA from 1 species
UACGUAGGCAGCGAGCGUUGUUCGGAGUUACUGGGCGUAAAGAGUGCGUAGGCGGUUUUCUAAGUUUGGUGUGAAAUCUCCCGGCUUAACUGGGGAGGGUGCGCCGAAGACUGGAAGGCUUGAGUAUGGGAGAGGUAAGCGGAAUUCCUGGUGUAGCGGUGAAAUGCGUAGAUAUCAGGAGGAACACCUGCGGUGUAGACGGCUUACUGGACCAUAACUGACGCUGAGGCACGAAAGCGUGGGUAGCAAACAGG